AUGCCAGGUCCCUCCCCCUGGCCCCAUAACUCGUGCAACGGGGGUCGAGAUGUCUCCAAGACCCCUUGGACCGUGCAAGCUCCUCCCCCCGGCCCCAUAACUUCUUCAUCCUCCUCCCGCCCCGCAGUGUGUGAAGCUCCGGUGGUGCCCAUUCCUCCCGAGGUCCAGGUCCUCCACUCCACCUCCUGCAGGCCCGACGCGGGCGAGGAAUCGGUGGAGCUCCUCUGCCUCAUCUCCGGCUUCUCCCCGGCCACCGUGGAGGUGGAAUGGUUGGUGGACGGCGUCUCGGGUCUCCUGAUGGCCACCCAGACGUCGCUGGGCCGGGACAAGGGAGCCAACACCUACUCGGCCACCAGCCGUACCAACGUCAGCCGCAAUAAGUGGUUGGAGGGGACGUCCUUCACCUGCCAGGUCAGACACCCCGCCUCCAACACCGUCAUGCAGGACCACACCCGUUUCUGCUCAGGUGAGGAC